CCCUGAGAUGGGGAACGAUAAAAAACGGACGAACACAACAAAAUCUCAAAGCUGCGUUUGAGAUUUUGUUGUGUUCGUCCGUUUUUUUAUCGUUCCCCAUCUCAGGGUUU
rnacentral:pre_miRNA from 1 species